rnacentral:lncRNA from 1 species
UUCUAUUUUAGCUAAAAAUAUGAGGAAUUAUGAUACACAACUCAUUAAAUGGCAAAAUGGACGGUUCGCAACAAGUUUGUCUGAUACUAAUUUCUUCAAUUAAAGACUUUGGAUUAGCUAUGGUUAAUUAGCUCCAAGAAAUAGUGUUCAGAAAAAUCAUAAAAGGCAAAAACAACUGCUUAAAUGGUCACAUCAACGGGGGUAGUUGCAUUUGGUGUACCAUUAUAAAUAGCAAUUAUGUGUAUCCUUCAAUGAUUAUAGUAUGUUGUUGUAUAAGCAUAAA